rnacentral:rRNA from 1 species
UACGUAGGGGGCAAGCGUUGUCCGGAUUCAUUGGGCGUAAAGAGCGUGUAGGCGGCCAGGUAGGUCGGUUGUGAAAACUGGAGGCUCAACCUUCAGAGGUCGACCGAAACCAUCUGGCUAGAGUCCGGGAGAGGAGAGUGGAAUUCCUGGUGUAGCGGUGAAAUGACGCAGAUAUCAGGAAGAACACCCGUGGCGAAAGCGGGUCUCUGGGCCGAUAUUGACGCUGAGGAGCGAAAGCGUGGGGAGCGAACAGG